rnacentral:rRNA from 1 species
CNUACGGGAGGCAGCAGCAGGGAAUCUUGCGCAAUGGGCGAAAGCCUGACGCAGCAAGCCGCGUGGGGGAUGAAGGCCUUCGGGUUGUAAACCCCUUUCAGGAGGGAAGAAAUUGACGGUACCUCCAGAAGAAGCCCCGGCCAACUACGUGCCAGCAGCCGCGGUAAUACGUAGGGGGCGAGCGUUGUCCGGAAUUAUUGGGCGUAAAGAGCUCGUAGGCGGCUCAGCAAGUCGGCUGUGAAAUCCCGAGGCUCAACCUCGGAACUGCAGUCGAUACUGCUGUGGCUAGAGUCUGGUAGAGGAGAGUGGAAUUCCCGGUGUAGCGGUGAAAUGCGCAGAUAUCGGGAGGAACACCAGUAGCGAAGGCGGCUCUCUGGGCCAGUACUGACGCUGAGGAGCGAAAGCGUGGGGAGCAAACAGGAUUAGAUACCCUGGUAGUCCACGCCGUAAACGUUGGGUACUAGGUGUGGCGUCCCGAUCAACGGAUGCCGUGCCGAAGCUAACGCAUUAAGUNCNCCNCG